rnacentral:rRNA from 1 species
UUCCGGUUGAUCCCGCCGGACCUGACUGCUAUCGGAUUGAUACUAAGCCAUGCGAGUCAUUGUAGCAAUACAAGGCAGACGGCUCAGUAACGCGUAGUCAACCUACCCUAUGGACGGGAAUAACCUCGGGAAACUGAGUAUAAUGCCCGAUAGAACACUAUACCUGGAAUGGUUUGUGUUCCAAAUGAUUUAUCGCCGUAGGAUGGGACUGCGGCCUAUCAGUUUGUUGGUGAGGUAAUGGCCCACCAAGACUAUUACAGGUACGGGCUCUGAGAGGAGUGGCCCGGAGAUGGGUACUGAGACACGGACCCAGGCCCUAUGGGGCGCAGCAGGCGAGAAAACUUUGCAAUGUGCGAAAGCACGACAAGGUUAAUCCGAGUGGUUUCUGCUAAAGGAACCUUUUGACAGUCCUAGAAACACUGUUGAAUAAGGGGUGGGCAAGUUCUGGUGUCAGCCGCCGCGGUAAAACCAGCACCUCAAGUGGUCAGGAUGAUUAUUGGGCCUAAAGCAUCCGUAGCCGGCUCUGUAAGUUUUCGGUUAAAUCUGUACGCUUAACGUACAGGCUGCUGGGAAUACUGCAGAGCUAGGGAGUGGGAGAGGUAGACGGUACUCGGGAGGAAGUGGUAAAAUGCUUUGAUCUCUCGAUGACCACCUGUGGCGAAGGCGGUCUACCAGAACACGUCCGACGGUGAGGGAUGAAAGCUGGGGGAGCAAACCGGAUUAGAUACCCGGGUAGUCCCAGCUGUAAACUAUGCAAACUCAGUGAUGCACUGGCUUGUGGCCAGUGCAGUGUUGCAGGGAAGCCGUUAAGUUUGCCGCCUGGGAAGUACGUACGCAAGUAUGAAACUUAAAGGAAUUGGCGGGGGAGCACCACAAGGGGUGAAGCCUGCGGUUCAAUUGGAUUCAACGCCGGG